rnacentral:rRNA from 1 species
AGCCAUGCAUGUCUCAGACUCAAUUCUUUGCAAAGUCGAUCUGCGAAUGGCUCAUUAGAACAGACAUUAUCGAUACGAUGAUCGUGGCAAUAUGGAUACCUGUGACAAUAUUAGAGCCAAUACAUGAUUCCCUGCCCAACUUUACUGAAGGGCUGUGUUUGGUGAUUUACAAAAGUCUGCUUUGGAUAUGUCCAUUCGCCACAUGACUGGCACCAACCGAAUGAAUCGCACAGCGUGUGUGAUAUAUCGCUCAAGUUUCUGACCUAUCAGCUUUGGACGGUACGGUAUUGGCUUACCGUGGCAGUGACGGGUAACGGAGAAUUAGGGUUUGAUUCCGGAGAGGGAGCCCGAGAAAUGGCUACCACAUCUAAGGAAGGCAGCAGGCACGCAAAUUGCCCAAUCCUGACACAGGGAGGUAGUGACAAGAAAUAACAAUACUGGGCUUUCUAGUCCUGUACUUGGAAUGGAUGUUGAACAGAUCACUUCAUGAUCAUCAACUGGAGGGCAAGUCUGGUGCCAGCAGCCGCGGUAAUUCCAGCUCCAGUAGCAUAUAUUCAAGUUGUUGCGGUUAAAAAGUUCGUAGUCUAGGAUUCGCCGAGGGUGGCAGAUCUGCCCAAUGGACAGCUCAUGCUUCCCUGGUUGUGCUGUGGCUUAAUCUUGCGCUUGACUGCGCCGGUGCUUGUCCAUGGCUGAUCACCUCGAGGAAAUUAAAGUGCUUCAAGCAAGCGAGGGCUUGCAUACAUUAGCAUGGAAUGAACAUGUGGAGUCUCGGCGCUCUGUGAUGGCUUCGGGCACCGGGGAGAAGAUUAAAAGGUACAGUUGGGGGCACUCGUAUUUGACUGUCAGAGGUGAAAUUCUUGAAUUCGUCAAGGUCGUUCUACUGCGAAGGCAUUUGCCAAAGAUGUUUCCAUUGAUCAAGAUCGAAAGUUAGGGGAUCGAAGAUGAUCAGAUACCGUCCUAGUCUUAACCAUCAACGAUGCCAGCUGGAAAUCGGACGGUGCCUUCAUCAUGGGCCGUCCGGCGUUUUGUGAGAAAUCAAAGUCUUUGGGUUCCGGGGGGAGUAUGGUCGCAAGACUGAAACUUAAAGGAAUUGACGGAAGGGCACCACCAGGAGUGGAGCCUGCGGCUUAAUUUGACUCAACACGGGGAAACUCACCAGGUCCAGACACAAGAAGGAUUGACAGCUUGACAGAUCUUUCUCGAUUUUGUGGGUGGUGGUGCAUGGCCGUUCCUAGUUGGUGGAGUGAUUUGUCUGGUUAAUUCCGUUAACGAACGAGACCUCAACCUGCUGAUUGGGCAUAUGUGACUUCGUGUCAUAGUUGCACUUCUUAGAGGGACCAUGCAUGGCCAAUGUAAGGAAGUUUGAGGCAAUAACAGGUCUGUGAUGCCCUUAGAUGUUCUGGGCUGCACGCGCGCUACACUGAUGCGUUCAACGAGUGUACAACCUUGCCCGAUAGGGUUGGGUAACCUUUUGAACACGCAUCGUGAUGGGGAUAGAUUAUUGCAAUUAUUAAUCUUCAACGAGGAAUUCCUAGUAAUGAUGGUUCAUCAGACCGUCGUGAUUACGUCCCUGCCCUUUGUACACACCGCCCGUCGCUCCUACCGAUUGAGCAAUCCGGUGAAUAUUUCGGACCGACUGGCUCGGGGCAACCUGCUGCUAGUUGGAAAGUCAAGUAAACCUUAUGCUAGAG